rnacentral:rRNA from 1 species
CGACCGCUGGCGGCAUGCCUAACACAUGCAAGUCGAACGAGACCUUCGGGUCUCGUGGCGCACGGGUGCGUAACGCGUGGGAACCUGCCCUUAGGUUCGGAAUAACUCCCCGAAAGGGGUGCUAAUACCGGAUAAUGUCUUCGGACCAAAGAUUUAUCGCCUUUGGAUGGGCCCGCGUUGGAUUAGCUAGUUGGUAGGGUAAAAGCCUACCAAGGCGACGAUCCAUAGCUGGUCUGAGAGGAUGAUCAGCCACACUGGGACUGACACGGCCCAGACUCCUACGGGAGGCAGCAGUGGGGAAUAUUGGACAAUGGGCGAAAGCCUGAUCCAGCAAUGCCGCGUGAGUGAUGAAGGCCUUAGGGUUGUAAAGCUCUUUUACCCGGGAUGAUAAUGACAGUACCGGGAGAAUAAGCUCCGGCUAACUCCGUG